UACGAAGGGGGCUAGCGUUGCUCGGAAUCACUGGGCGUAAAGCGCACGUAGGCGGCUUUCUAAGUCAGAGGUGAAAUCCUGGAGCUCAACUCCAGAACUGCCUUUGAUACUGGAGAGCUUGAGUCCGGAAGAGGUGAGUGGAACUCCGAGUGUAGAGGUGAAAUUCGUAGAUAUUCGGAAGAACACCAGUGGCGAAGGCGGCUCACUGGUCCGGUACUGACGCUGAUGUGCGAAAGCGUGGGGAGCAAACAGG
rnacentral:rRNA from 1 species